AUUGAACGCUGGCGGCAGGCCUAACACCUGCAAGUCGAGCGAGCGGCGGACGGGUGAGUAAUGUCUGGGAAACUGCCUCAUGGAUGGGGAUAACUACUGGAAACGGUAGCUAAUACCGCAUACCAUCUCCUGUGCCCAGAUGGGAUUAGCUAGUAGGUGGGGUCAAGGCUCACCUAGGCGACGAUCCCUAGCUGGUCUGAGAGGAUGACCAGCCACGAUGGAACGGAGACACGGUCCAGACUCCUACGGGAGGCAGCAGUGGGGAAUAUUGCACAAUGGGCGCAAGCCUGAUGCAGCCAUGCCGCGUGUAUGAAGAAGGCCUUCGGGUUGGAAAGUACUUUCAGUGGGGAGGCGUUACCCGCAGAAGAAGCACAGGGUAAGGGCGUGCCAGCCGCCGCGGUAAUUC
rnacentral:rRNA from 1 species